UCUGGUGAAGUACAUUCGGCCCGUAACUCAAAAUAAUGGUCCUAUUAGCAUGUAUAUACUCCUGUUUGUGACCUCCAUCACAGAUGUGAAUGAAAAAUCACAGAGCAUCACAACACAACUAAAAAUGUACACUGGUUGGAGUGAUAUGAGGAUGAAUUGGGACAGCUCAAAAUAUUGUGGCAUUUAUACAUUUGCAACAAGAAAAGAUUUGUUUUGGACUCCAAACAUUGCCGUUCAAGA